rnacentral:rRNA from 1 species
UACGAAGGGGGCUAGCGUUGUUCGGAAUUACUGGGCGUAAGGCGCGUGUAGGCGGCCCUGCAAGUCGGAUGUGAAAUCCCACGGCUCAACCGUGGAAGUGCAUUCGAAACUGCAGGGCUAGAGUCCUGGAGAGGAAGGUGGAAUGCUUGGUGUAGAGGUGAAAUUCGUAGAUAUCAAGCGGAACACCGGUGGCGAAGGCGGCCUUCUGGACAGUGACUGACGCUGAGACGCGAAAGCGUGGGGAGCAAACAGG